rnacentral:rRNA from 1 species
GAUGAACGCUGGCGGCGUGCCUAAUACAUGCAAGUCGAGCGAACAGACGAGGAGCUUGCUCCUCUGACGUUAGCGGCGGACGGGUGAGUAACACGUGGAUAACCUACCUAUAAGACUGGGAUAACUUCGGGAAACCGGAGCUAAUACCGGAUAAUAUAUUGAACCGCAUGGUUCAAUAGUGAAAGACGGUUUUGCUGUCACUUAUAGAUGGAUCCGCGCCGCAUUAGCUAGUUGGUAAGGUAACGGCUUACCAAGGCGACGAUGCGUAGCCGACCUGAGAGGGGGAUCGGCCACACUGGAACUGAGACACGGUCCAGACUCCUACGGGAGGCAGCAGUAGGGAAUCUUCCGCAAAGGGCGAAAGCCUGACGGAGCAACGCCGCGUGAGUGAUGAAGGUCUUCGGAUCGUAAAACUCUGUUAUUAGGGAAGAACAAAUGUGUAAGUAACUAUGCACGUCUUGACGGUACCUAAUCAGAAAGCCACGGCUAACUACGUG